UCGCGAGCACGAAAACCACUGCGAGAUAAGUUGUUGGACACACCUUUGCAAAGUGAUCUGUAAUUUCAAACGAUUCGAACUAGUAUUCAGCGAGGGGUAUAGGUAAAGUUUACGUUCAAAACAUAGGAAAAUUAAAGGGCUGAUGUAGAGUGCAGCUUAUCUAUUCCUGGAAACAAUGGUGAUGUGGAAGAGUUUCUUUGAAUGAUAUCUGUUCAUGGUUAAGUAAGUAGCAGUAACAGAUAUAGUGCACAUGAAGGGUGGGUGUGUCCUGUGUUACGGCACAAAGCAAACGUGCACAGCAAGGGUGUCGCUAACUGCACGAGUGACAACCAGGAUCUGGCAACUUUCGGCUGUGCUGUCGACUGAGCUCUUACCUGAAGCUUCUGAGCCCCGGGUGGCUGGUGUUAACAUUCACUGAACAGAAGAGCAAACGAAAGCAGAAAAUGGCGGUCAAUGGCUGGACAAUGAAAGUCAUUCAGUUGCUGCUUGAAGAGUUUGAUGGAAGAGCCAAGUUUGGACAAUUCAAGAGAAGGCUGUAUCAAGAAUACCUCGUGAAGGGUGGAAUCGCUCGUGUUUUAGAUAGGCUCUACGACAGCAACAGGUUCUUGGUCUUUGAAAAGUAUGAGCAGGUGAAAUAUGUUUCAGUCGCCUGGGAGGAUGCUAUUAUCUGCUGUGGAUACCGAAAGCGAGGAUGGGACACGUGCGUUAAAGGACUGUUUCAAAUUCCACAUCUGCAAGUUCUUCAUCACUGGUAACUGCGUAUAUGGUUCCAGAUGUUUGUUUGGGCACGACCUCGAGAACGAGGCCAACUGGAAUGUGUCUGACAACCUGGGUCUGUCAUCGUUUUCAGCCGAACAAAUCCGCACCAUCAUAUUUCGCAGCCAUCCAGUUGUGUGUGUGAACUACAACACGGGAGGCUGUGAUGACGAUGACUGUCCAGACCUUCACGUCUGCUCUCGAUUCAUCCUACAGAAAUGUACAGCAGGAGCCCGUUGUAAUUUUGGACAUUCUUUUCGAACGACUGAACACAAUCAGUGGAUUCUGGAGACAUUUUAUGUGGAAGAUUUGAAUGAUGAAGAAUUGAAAAGGCGCGUCCUAGUAACAAAUAUCUCCAACACUGACAUCAGCCACGAUCCCAAAUGACACCAGCAACAUCUUCGUUAAGUGUCUUUAGUGGUGCUAAAGCAGAAUCAUCAACAUCCUCACUAUCAUCAAUAGACACAGAAGAUUACAUCCUUAGUGUCUUCAUGUUUCUGUUGAAGGAUUUAGGCGGGAGAGCUAAAUUUAACACAUUCUUGACCAAGAGGUGAACUCUGCAGGGACUUAAGAGAGUAGACAUCAUUGAGUGGCUGGAGGACAACAGUGACCGAUUCCUCUUGCAUGAAAGUGAUGGUGAUGUGAAGUUUGUUUCUGUUCACAACAGACGCGCCAGGGUGUGCUUGAGAUACAACAACCCUGGUGGUUCCAUGUGUGACAAUCAGUUUUGCAAGUUCUUUCACAUCUGCAGAGAUCUCCUAACUGACACCUGUAGCAGGACCAGAUGCCAUUUAAAUCAUGAUUUUUCCUCAUGGCCAAAUGCCAAGAUAUGCUCGGAUCUGAACUUUCAGCAGUUUUCAGACAAGGAGAUUUGUAAGAUCAUUCUGUGUAGUCAUCCUGUCGUCUGCGUGAAAUAUAACGAAUCAGGCUGUCAGCUGAAUGAGUGUCCGGACCUCCACGUUUGUUCAAAGAAUAUCUUAAAUCAGUGUGCACGUGGAGACGGCUGUAGGUUUGGCCACACAAUAAAGAAUUCGGGAGAACACAACUCGUAUGUGUUGAAGGCUUUUGGAAUGGACACUUGGCAAGAACAAGUCCUGCGGAAACUUGUCAUUGUCAGCAAAAGAGAACACCCAGAGCAUCUACCAUGUCCCAGCUGUACACCAACAGCUGGACAUUCGUCAGUCAGGAAAAAACGAAUAUACCCGGCACCGCACGAAAUCUAUUGGUGUCAAAGAUACUGAUCCUGGCGAGUAUGAAUACCUGUGUGAAAUAUACACCUGGAGAGGUAUGUGUCCCAAAACUCCGAACUGUCCACACUACCACAGUCCUGAUCGCCUCCCUUACCUGUGGCUGACUAGGAAUCAGGAGGAUGGACAAUGGCGCAGAGUCCAUUCAAGUGUGAACACAGACUUCGAGAAAGUUUCUGUUGCCUUGACGAUGUUAGGUCAUUUCAGGUAAAACAUUUAUAAUGUGGGGAGAAGAUAGACAAAGCUUUGUUUACAGCUGGCAACAUAACUUCUCUACAAAGGCAGACGGACUAACAUACUGUAGGACUUGGGAUAUUGUGUCUUUAAGCAUGUGUUCUUUUAAUAUACCUGGAGUACAGAAUGUGGACUUCCAGUGCCAUGUCAGCCAAAGUCGGAGUACGCCAGUCAGUUAAGCUCAGGCGACUGUCGACGCCAUCAUAUGUGACUGCAACACCAGGAACUCCUCUCAAGCUUCUACACUCAGUGGGUGUGGUAUCGGCAAGAACAUGAAGGCAACUACACCCCCUUCUACCCGGGAACCUUGCAGUACACUCUGGAAGAGAAGUAUUGAAGGGACAGCAGAAGUAUUAUUUUGAGUUUGGAGAUUUACGCCUGAUGGUCAACACUCAAAGCUCCCCGAUAGUUCAAACCAACCUCGACACACAUCGAACAACUUGUGUCAUCCGAAGACCUGUUUUAUGGCGGCUACAUCCAAGACGCCAA
rnacentral:lncRNA from 1 species